UAGGGCAUAAUAGCUUGGCCACACAUGCUCCAUACGCAUCAUGACUUUGUGUACCUAUCUGAUGGGCGGGGUAUAUGAAACGCCUUCUUGUACAUGCAGGUGAUCCAGGUAUACACCAAAGCUUAGUUUUCAAUCGAACACUUGUAAUAUAAGAGGAAAAACUGCACGUGAGCCUUCCAAAAUUUUAAUAAACGGUAAAAUACACAAGAUAACCUCACAUAUAUUAAGUGAUUAUCUUUGCAUCAAAUCAGCCUUUUUUCCAUCAACUGUAGCAUUUCUCCUUCGAAGCUCGGUUUGUAGAAAAGAAAUUCCCACCUAUUACCAGUGGUAAAAGGUGGGAAAAUAAUUCCCAGUAGUUACCACUGAUAAGAACUUGGUGGUAACUAGUGGGAAUAACCCUUUUAUUGUUAAUAAUUACUGUUAAUCAUAAUCAUCUUCGGAGUCGAAGUCUGACGAACUUUCCCCAGACUCCGACUUAUCUAUUGUUAUUUCUUCGACUCGCAAAGGCGUUAUGUGUCCUUCAAACCAUUUGAUCUUAUACAUUUCAUCUCUUAAUGUCCAGCCACAAUGUGUUGCAUCAAAUUUGAUGCAAGUGGAUUCUGCCGCACACUGCCACAUUGAAUUUAUGAAAGCCGUCCGUAACAAGCCAUACGUCAACAGGUUUAUUUUAGGUAUUAUAAUCCGUUUGUUACAUUCUAUUUUUCGAUGAGGUAAAUUGUAGCUCUCACGUGGUACCACAAAAUUGGUCGGACACAGGAACCUGCCAACACAGGAUUUGGCCGACCACUUUUUUUUUA